rnacentral:rRNA from 1 species
UACGGAGGGAGCUAGCGUUGUUCGGAAUUACUGGGCGUAAAAGCGCACGUAGGCGGCGAUUCAAGUCAGAGGUGAAAGCCCGGGGCUCAACCCCGGAACUGCCUUUGAAACUAGAUUGCUAGAAUCCUGGAGAGGUGAGUGGAAUUCCGAGUGUAGAGGUGAAAUUCGUAGAUAUUCGGAAGAACACCAGUGGCGAAGGCGACUCACUGGACAGGUAUUGACGCUGAGGUGCGAAAGCGUGGGGAGCAAACAGGG